rnacentral:rRNA from 1 species
UACGAAGGGGCUAGCGUUGCUCGGAAUCACUUGGGCGUAAAGGGUGCGUAGGCGGGUCUUUAAGUCAGGGUGAAAUCCUGGAGCUCAACUCCAGAACUGCCUUUGAUACUGAGGAUCUUGAGUUCGGGAGAGGUGAGUGGAACUGCGAGUGUAGAGGUGAAAUUCGUAGAUAUUCGCAAGAACACCAGUGGCGAAGGCGGCUCACUGGCCCGAUACUGACGCUGAGGCACGAAAGCGUGGGGAGCAACAGGG